rnacentral:rRNA from 1 species
UGCGAGUUGUAUGAGAUACCUAGAUUUCCCAUAGCAAACUGCUUAGUAACACAUGAUCAACUUACCCUAUGGAGAAAUAUAACCUCGGGAAACUGAGGAUAAUACUUCAUAGUUGAAUAGGCUUGGAAAAGUUUUUCAAUGAAAGGGAUAAGAAAAAUGGUUCUUAUCUGCCAUAGGAUAGGAUCGUGCUCGAUUAUGGUUGUUGGUGAGGUAAAGGCUCACCAAGCCGAUAAUCGAUAGGGGCCGUGAGAGCGGGAGCCCCAAGAUGGGUACUGAGACAGCGACCCAGGCCUUACGAGGCGCAGCAGGUACGAAACCUCCGCAAUACACGAAAGUGUGACGGGGUUACCCAAAGUGUUCUUAUAGAACUGUGGCAGGUGAGUAAUGUCCCCUGCUAGAAAGGAGAGGGCAAGGCUGGUGCCAGCCGCCGCGGUAAAACCAGCUCUUCAAGUGGUCGGGAUAAUUAUUGGGCUUAAAGUGUCCGUAGCCGGUUUAGUAAGUUCCUGGUAAAAUCAGGUAGCUUAACUAUCUGUAUGCUAGGAAUACUGCUAUACUAGAGGGCGGGAGAGGUCUGAGGUACUACAGGGGUAGGGGUGAAAUCUUAUAAUCCUUGUAGGACCACCAGUGGCGAAGGCGUCAGACUGGAACGCGCCUGACGGUGAGGGACGAAAGCCAGGGGAGCGAACCGGAUUAGAUACCCGGGUAGUCCUGGCCGCAAACGAUGCAUACUAGGUGAUGGUACGGCCAUGAGCCGUGUCAGUGCCGUAGGGAAACCGUUAAGUGUGCCGCCUGGGAAGUACGGUCGCAAGGCUAAAACUUAAAGGAAUUGGCGGGGGAGCA